CAGUAACAAGAAAUUCUGUGCUCCAGUGCUCUCUGUAUCUGUGUUACAGAUAUUUGCCUCACAGAUGUGCUUUCUGUGCUACUUCUGCUGGAAGUUACAUUUAGUCUUUGCUCAUAUCCUGAAGGCCAACAGAACAAGCUCCCUGACUGAUUGAUUUCCAGCAUUUUAAAUCCUGGCUGCUGCACUGCCAACAUUGACUCUGAGGGUACCCUUGCCAGCUUUGCCCUGCCACUAGGAAGGCCAUCAGAUUCUAGAAACAUCAGUCUCGUCCCAUUUUUCUGCCCACGUCACAGCGAGUGCUUAGGAAUUCUGAUGAGCUCCAUCUUGCUGGAGGUGAGUUGUGACUCAUGGGACACAGGGACACUCUGUGUCUUUCCCCAGUGUCCUGAGUGUUGAUGGACCUGAUGAGCAUUAGCAUCAAGGAGAGGAGGGUUGUUGCAGCUGUAAUGCAAGAUCAGCACAGCCCUAAACUCCAGUUUGUCACAACCACAGGAGUUCUUUCCUCUUCCUUCCAUCAGAGAAUAUCUUCUAAAAACUCUUGCAGAAAUAUUUUUGGUCUGAAUUAACAAUGGAAUUUCAAGUUUCCCCUGCUUUUAACUUGACCACAUGAGUUUGUAGUGGUUCUGAUUUCAGAGUUCUAUGGACUUCCCAUGAAAACAUUUUCAUUUUCAACUCACCUCUCGGGAAAAUACAGCUCCUACUUCAGCCUGCUGGGGUGGGAUGCUGAAAGCAGUACCAGAAACACAAGUGAGGGAGUACAAGAGAAAGCACAAAUGUUGCUGAGGUGGCUUACUUACCGUGACCAGUAUGAACUUUUGGUAUUUACAUUAAUGUUUACAAUUAAUUUUUUCCUAACCUUCUGCUCAGCCCUUCAGGGAAAAGGCUGAUGUUGCACUCUGGAAGCUGAUACUGCUGAGUUUGAUUAGAUUAUAGGGAAAGAAGAUUUUCCAUCUUCCCACACCUCUUGCCAAUUAAGAUUAGGAGUCUCAUAGUUGAUUCAAAUCUCAUUAUUCCACAAACAUCGUUAAGAUUGUAUGUAGUUCAGUUUUGCAGUAGAAAGCAGUCUAUAAACAAUCAGUUGUAAUAUUAGGGAUGGAAUUUUAAAGUCUUAAUUGGGAUAAUGAAGGAGAUACUAGAGGCUCUCUGAAGGCUAACACUUAAUAUACUUCUGAACAGAGGUUGCUUCCAAUUGUAUAUUUCAGCAAUAUUAUACCAUAGUAACUCAUGGAUGUCCUCGUUUUAUUGACUUCUUUUUGUUCUUACAGCUUUUGGUUGCUGUCUUAAGUCCUUCUGUUAAAAAAAAAAAAGUAUCUGUGGUCAUUGAUUUCUUCCAAAUAUUAUUAACUGUGGUAGGGAAUAUUCCUGACAGGCCUCUUUGUGGGAUGUUUGUAUGCCUUGAAUGCAUAGCCACUCUGUGUGAACAUAAAGAGACUGAUUAGGAUCCAUUCUGCAAGUACAGAAUUUAUAAUAUAUGAUGGAGGAGUGGGAGAUGAGGAUGGAGAAAAGGUGUAAUUAAUUCCUAAUUAUUAGAAAUAUUAUAGGUGUGUAGCCUGAGCUGAUAUCAAGAAUAAUACUGGAGAUGAUAUAUAUGUUUUCCCAGAACAAUGAUACCUGUAAAUGAAAUUACCUGUAACUCCAGUCCUGUGCCUUUCUUCAUUGGACUGCCAGUCAGGCCCCUCUUUAUCAGCUGUGAUAGGUUUGAAAUGUAUAGAUGCAUAUUAAUAACUGAGAUGAGAUGUAUUAAUUUAAUAUUGAUUUCCAUUUUCGACCUAAGCUUCUGCUUCCGUUGAACCCUAAAAAAUUUAUCAUUGUAAUAAUUACAAAUCAAACAGAUUGUUAUUUUCUGUCCUUAGGUAAUAUGAGAUAAUAUUCCAGUUUUAAGCAAAGUUAUGUUUCAUAACAAAAGUUCUU